CCUCCGCGCCAAGAUGGCGGCUCGCUCGUUGGAAGUCGAACCCCGACUACCUCGAUGAGUUCCGCACCUUAGCGUUGCGGCGGUGCCUUCGAGGGAAGCCACGGCGCUUGAGCGCCGAAUCAUCAAUUGGCAGCGAUGCAUGUGUUGAACCCUUAACUUAGAAAUUGGUGCUCCAAGGAGAAGAGUUUCCCUGUAACUUUAAUCUGCUGAUGUAUCACUUCAGGGAUACAUCUGUUCAGAAACUCGUGUGGUGGAUGGUUCUGCUCACACACAGCUUUUCUUGUCUGAGAUGGAACUAGCCAAGACUCCUCUUACAAGAGAGUGGGAGUCUCCAUUUACCUCAUGAUGUUAUUAUUCUUUAUCCAUACCUGUUCCAUUUUUUAAUAUAUGGGACCAGAACUGGACAUGGUACUUCAGAUGAGCCCUUAACAGUGCUUUGUACUAUAAUCUGCCUACUUCUGUAUCCCGUCUAUCUCUUUAUUUGUAAGCAGUCCCAGGUGAGUCUAUCUUCCCUGAUAUAUCCUAGGAUUCCUUUUGCCUCUUUGCCAAGCAUAUCAUAUUUGUGUGGCAGGCAAGUUUAUAAAAACAGAAUAAUGCCCUAUCAGGGUACAAUUACAAAAACAGAGAUAUCAAAACUAGAAGUUAAUCCAUGUGUGUCCUAUCCAUGCAGCACUGGUUGAUACACAGCUGAUCUUUUGUGCAAAAAUACCACUGAGAAUUAUGCAGAGCCCUCUGAGGAUAUGGAUUUCUUCAACAUUCGGUGAAGGGCUAGGGAGCUCAUUAAGAGAGCAGAAAGGCUUGGUGGCAGCAGAACUCCCUCUUUCUCUCAGAUCUCCAUGCCGACGUGCAGUCGCAUGUGUUCUGAAUGCUUAAUGUAGAAAUAGGUUCUUAUUCUUAUGGAGCACCAAGCUAGUAAAUUGAAAAUGUACUAAAGAUGGCUACAUUAAUGUUUUAACAUACUUUUUACCAUAUACACAAUGCAAUACAUUGUUCUCACUAUGGAUUUCUGCUUGUGAGUUUCCACUGAGUACAACAAAAAUAAUUGAACGCCAGAUGAUAUCAGUAAUCCAGUCUUCUGUUAUUGGCAGUAUCUGAGAUCCAGAAGGUUCCAUUUCAGGUGAACAUACUCUAAUCCCUAAAACUAUAUGCAGUGCAAUAAUAAAUCAAGUUUGGGAAAAAAAAAUUACCUCCUGGCUUUUGCCAAUUUAGUUUAUACCCCACAAGAAUAAGAUUUAAUUAUUCUUAUCUUAAUUAUUCUUAACUUGGUAUGUGCAGUAACUGCAGGUAUUAUUAUCAGCAAUAAAAUUAUUCAGCCACAAAAUUUUCUUAAACUGCCCAAAGCGUCAUUUUCCAUACACCUUUCUCAGUUAAAAAUACUUUUCUUUAAUUUAUUCUGAGUUCAUUUGGGAUAAGUUUUAUUAGAGUGAAUUCCAUGUUUUGCUGAUAAGGGACAUAAAAGUAGUGAUUAGUUUUUGAAAAAGGUUUCCAUAGGCUAUAUCUGUGGAAACAGCUUAUCUUGUUUUUGAAAUGCUUUUACUACUCUCACUCACCUUGUGUCCACACAGAAACAUCUUUUGCUCACAUAAAACUGGAAUUAACUUCAGGGUUUUGCUAAAUUGGCUCCACGAUAUAAGUAGCACACUUCCACAGCUAUUUCUGGGUCUGUUUCAGCUGCUUUCUGAACUUAGAGCCUAAACUUCUCAAUCAUGCAUUUUUUCUAGUAUUUCCUUCCCCCUCUCCUAAAAUUAGAUUGUUUCCUGAUACAGUAUUCAAAAAAACCCAAACCCUGUACUAAUUACAGUUAAUUGUCUAACUUUUUUCUAAUCCUGUUUAUGCUUUAAGCAACUGCAUCAACAGUGUGUUUUGUUCUUGUAUUUGUGUUCUGCUCUGUGAUCCUUCACAUAUGAAAUUCAGAUUUUUGCCAAGCUCUUUUGACCAGAUAAAAACUCUUAUUUGUGAGCUUUUCUUUCAAAGAGAAGCCUUACUGUCUUUAUGGAAACAUCUAGUGAAUUAUGAGGAUCAGAUUUGAGCAGCUAGCUAAGGAAAGAGUGCUGAAAAACACCACAAAGAUAAAAAAGGGAAAGUUGAAAUACACCAGAGAAGAGCAGAAACCAGAAUAUUUCUGGAAGCAAUUAAAGAAUUUGCUUUAUAAAAGAGUAAGCAAGGGAGAUGUUAUUGUAGGAGAAAAUAUUUUCUGCCAGAGGUUUGGUUUCCAGCAUCAACUUUCAUAUACACACAUGAUUAAGAAGAACUUUUCUUGGUGGAAAUUUUCCUCCUUGGUAGAGCAAAAAUAAAUCCCUGACUAGCAGAAAGUGAACUACAAAUAAGGAGUGUCUUCAAUUUCACCCAAGGGUUUUAAAGGCGAUUCCUACUUUUUUUUUUCAGAAGGGUUCCCAAAGUUCAAACAUCUGGGUUUAUUGUAGUUUCUUCGUCACAGGACCCUGUGUGGUACUGGCUUGUAAGACGGGAUCCGGUUGACACUGUGGCAGAGCUGGUUUGGGAACAGUUUAGAGAUCACAUAGAAGUUGACCUUAGGCAAUGACUUUGUGCAACUUAGCAAGGCAAAGCAAGAUAAUGAUUUAUUGAACUAGAAGUGACCAUCACAGAAAAGCUAUCCCAUCAAUCCCACUUGUCCACUGCUAAGGAUAUAUGAAUGUUAUUGCAAUUGUUUUAUAAAUACAUAAUUCUGGGUAAUUAGUCCAUGUGGUUGUAGGAUUAGUUGAGCUACCUUUCAAAAAUUGUUACAGUAUUUCUGCUUCUUUGUACUUCUGUUUUUUUUCUAUCACUUAAAGGUUCCUGUUCCCAAAGACAGUGGGAAACAAAUACUUGUAGAGGUAAGCAGGGUAGAACAAAGUUUUGGAAAUGUCUUUGUCAUCAUAAAAAGACCCAUGGACAGUUUUUAAUGUGGCUCUUAGUGAUACAUUUGAUUAUGUGAUCAAUAACUGCAUAGUAAAGGUUUCCCAAUGUUUCUUUACAAUAUAGGUAGUUGCUGUUGGUGCUAGAAAGAUUAUUUCUGGUAAAAAAGAAGAAGAAAGAUGAUUAUCAGCAAAGGCAAUUAGAAUGUAAACCACUUCAACAGAAACUCAAAAAGUCUCUCAAGUUCCCCACAUUUUGCAUUACAAUAUUACUUGUAACAGACAUUCCGAAAAUCUGCUGACUGGCUGCUUUUCUUACUGUAAGUGUUCUUUUAAUUCUGUAGAUUAAAUAAAUAUAUUGUUGCAAAGCAUGAGAAAGUGAUUUUUUUAAAAAUUAUUAUAGAAAAUGGAGUUGGGUUAGAUAAUGUCAUUCCCCUGAGUAGCACCUCCAAAAGAAUCUUGCAAUGAAAAAAACCAAGAAAGACGAAAUGAGUGAUAAGUAACAGAGCUAGCUAACACACUGUUCUUUAAAAGUUAAAGAUGUACAUCAGUUGGAGACAGGGUAUCAAACAUCAGUAGGGAGAACAACAGGAAACUUUUUCCACUGUUUGAAAGAGAUAAAAAGAAGAAAACCAAGUCUCAGUUGCAGUAACAGCUGACUAAGCUCCUGACAUACUCGAAGCAUAGCCAGUUGUAAUGAAUACCAGGGAAAACUAUUUUCUAAACAAAAACGCUGCUCACUUAGAAACUUAAAGUCAGGAUAAAAAAAUGUAGAUCUCAGGGUAAUACUGAGGCAAAAGCUACACAGAUCCCAGAACUGAAACAAAAUGCUGCAGUUGCAACCUGUUUGCAAACGAUUUUCUGCUGUACCCUGGGUGAACCUCAGCCUUGGGGGAUUGUGGGCAGGGAGGCCCAGUUGACAUAGAAAUGCAAAAUUCCAGUGUAUGUGAGAAAGAAUUAGAGGCAUUACUCUUGCACUUCUGGUGCUUUGCAGAGAGGGGUUGAAGCCAGAAUGAAUAUUCUUUCCUUUUCACAUGUUAAAAGC